rnacentral:rRNA from 1 species
UGGGGAAUAUUGGACAAUGGUCGGAAGCCUGAUCCAGCCAUGCCGCGUGUGUGAAGAAGGCCUUUUGGUUGUAAAGCACUUUAAGCGAGGAGGAGGCUACUUGGAUUAAUACUCUAGGAUAGUGGACGUUACUCGCAGAAUAAGCACCGGCUAACUCUGUGCCAGCAGCCGCGGUAAUACAGAGGGUGCGAGCGUUAAUCGGAUUUACUGGGCGUAAAGCGUGCGUAGGCGGCUUCUUAAGUCGGAUGUGAAAUCCCUGAGCUUAACUUAGGAAUUGCAUUAGAUACUGGGAAGCUAGAGUAUGGGAGAGGAUGGUAGAAUUCCAGGUGUAGCGGUGAAAUGCGUAGAGAUCUGGAGGAAUACCGAUGGCGAAGGCAGCCAUCUGGCCUAAUACUGACGCUGAGGUACGAAAGCAUGGGGAGCAAACAGG